CCCCCCCCCCCCCCCCCCCUUUCUUUCUGAUGAGCUUAGAAUAGCAUUAAAAUCACCUAGGAGAAUCUACGAAUUUAUCAUAGUACUAUUAAUAUCCUCGAGCUCCUUCCAUAAUGACAUUCUUUUCAACGGCUGAGGGCUAGCAUGUAUUGCAGUAGCUUCCAUUAAUGGCUUUCCAAACUUGGAUAUACCAAAAUGAAUGAAUUGAGAGUUGUUGAUUAGAAUUUGAAUAUCCCAUUCCUCAUCCCACAAUAGCCAAGUUAAAGCUGCAAAACUUGAAGCUUCGACUCUAUGAGAGCGAUUAAAUCCAAUUUUCUGAAUGUGGAAUCUGCCAUUCCUCCACUAGUUCUAGGCUUCAAUAGAAUCAGAAAUAUGGCUUAUGAGUAGAAAUAAAAGUUUGAGAGUGCCUAGGAAAAUGCUACUUCCUACUCCCUGGCAAUUCCAAAUCAUAAUAGACAUCGAUAUAAGAUAAACGCAAAGAAAACACAAAAGCCUAUUAAAACAUCAAUAAUCAGGUCUUGGUGAUCGUUAUUGAUAGAGAAUUCCACAAUAUCCUUUGCAUCUUCAAUAUCUUCAAAUUCAUCCAUAUCAUCCUCUUCAUUAUUCCCUUUCCCCUAGAAGAAAGGAGGAUGCACAGGAAUAUAUGCUUUUGUGGGAGAGAAAUUUUUGGUGGGAUUAGGUUUGGGGAGAAGGGAAUACUCUAACUGUUGUGUGAUGGUUUGAAUUUAAUUUAUUACUAAUGGAGACCAUUGAUACUUCCAUCAGGUUUCUAGUUUUAAAAGCAAAGAAAUUACCAAGGGUAGGCUUUUCAGGUUUAGUUGGGGAUUUUGGUCGUUUGUUUCCAAUAGUGGGUUGGUGCAUGAGUGAAUUUCCUCUGUUCUCUUUAGUUUUACUAUUAGGAAACUGGAUCCUUCGAGAAUCAGUGCUUGAUUGAUAGUUAGA
rnacentral:lncRNA from 1 species